rnacentral:rRNA from 1 species
UACGGAGGGUGCAAGCGUUAUCCGGAUUCACUGGGUUUAAAGGGUGCGUAGGUGGGUCUGUAAGUCAGUGGUGAAAUCUCCGGGCUUAACUCGGAAACUGCCGUUGAUACUAUAGAUCUUGAAUAUCGCGUAGGUAAGCGGAAUAUGUCAUGUAGCGGUGAAAUGCUUAGAUAUGACAUAGAACACCGAUUGCGAAGGCAGCUCACUACGGAUGUAUUGACACUGAGGCACGAAAGCGUGGGGAUCAAACAGG